CGGCGAUCUAGGGUUUCAUGAGAUCUAUCACCAGAUCCGUUUGAAUCUAUCACCAGAUCCGUUUGAUGAGCAGAUCUAGGGUUUCAUGAGAUCUAUCACAAGCUUUAUCUUGUAACUUAAUGUCGAAGGCACCAAGGGAUCCACAGAUUUGCUGGAGAAUGGCCGGAAUCAGGUGACUGUCUGUCCAUGAAUCUCUCUGGAAUCAUGUUUCAGAUGAAGAUUUCUAUAUAAAACAUACCAGUUUGUGUGGAAGAACGAGCAAGGAGAGAAGAGGCGCUCUUCACCCGAGCGCCUCUUACAAGAAUGGAUAAAAAGCGGUUGAAACACGUGUGCGAAUCAAGUAACGGGCUGCAUGGUUUAGCUUAUGGUUUUGAGGAUGAUAUCAAAUCUUUACCUCUGGAGGAUGGUGUUGAUGGGCAAAUGUCGUCUUUCAUGUAUUUAGACGGCAGAGAAAGAAAGUUCAAGAGGCGAAAGAUUACCUGGUGGUUGUGGGUGGAAGAUGGUGGCGAUGACACAGAUCUACCGUUUGGUGGCCGGAUCUACCGUUUGAAGUUGCACUUUGUGGGUGUUCAAAUUAAAGACACUCCCAAUGUAAGUUUUAUUUUUAUUUUAGUGUUUUUUUUGCUAUUGUCGUUAUCAAGUUGUCAUAUGUGUUUAUAAAAGUUUAAUGAUUUGACCUAAAUUAUAUAAAUUCACGCGUUUAUGUUUUUUUCUAAUACUUGAUUUCUGAAAUGCAUUUUAUGAUGGUUGACUUUGCGAGAACUAACGGAGCAUUAGUGUCAAAGUACUGGAAAGAGGUUGGGCGUCGAUCUUACAAUUUUAGCCUGGGGGUAACAAGAGCAGAACAUGGAAGCUGUGGAGGAGCCCGUCAGCCGGGUGUUCGUCUUCUUCGACGAGUUCAUCUUCUAAGGCGAUGAAAGGCGUGGGACGGUUGUCGACUUCGGAUGCGUCACGUUCGGAUGAGGUUUCGUUUUCGGCUGCUGUGGCUACUGUGGUUAGAGCUCCGCCUAAAGAUUUCUUGUUUGUUAGGCAAGAAUGGGCUGCGAUUCGAAUUCAGUCGGUUUUUCGCUCUUUUUUGACAAAAAUGGAUGCCAAAAUAACUGGUUGUUCCGGUGGGCCCACAGCAGGGAAGUACAAUCUACAGCUGAAAAAGCAACAUUUUACUACUGUGUGAAAGACAGCUUGCUUGCUGCAGUCUCUAUAAUGUAUCAACACUCUACAAACACUGUUUGAAAGACAGCAUGUUUGCUUCAGUCUCUAUAAAUAAUUCAGAUGUAUCAACACUCUACAAACACUUUACAAACCCUCAACUACACUCAACUUAAAUUAAUAUAUCGACUCUUUGCAUCUGGAUCUUGCGUUGUUUCUCGGCUCUCACAUCAAGGUUUUAGUUUUUUUGUCGGCUUUUCACAUCUCCCUCUUGCAUUGUUGUAAGUUCUUUCAAAUUUCUUGGUUUUUUUGUAACUUUUAACUGUAGCUUUUAACUUUAGAAGAUUGUAAAUGUUGAAAUAACUGGGGUUUUUGGA